UGGCCGUGAUGACUACUUAGGACACCUUUGGAUUCACGAUGAAAACAAACUCAUAAGAUCUGAGCCCA